AAUUUUACACAAUGGGGGAAACCCUGAUGUAGCGACACCGCGUGAGCGAAGAAGCCCUUUGGGGUGUAAAGCUCUGUCAGCAGGGACGAAAUCAAUGACGGUACCUGCAGAGGAAGCAUCGGCUAACUACGUGCCAGCAGCCGCGGUAAGACGUAGGAUGCGAGCGUUGUCCGGAUUUAUUGGGCGUAAAGAGUUCGUAGGCUGUUCGUUAAGUCUGGUGUAAAAGACUGGGGCUCAACCCUGGGAUCGCACUGGAUACUGGCGGACUGGAGUGCAGUAGAGGCAAGCGGAAUUCCCAGUGUAGCGGUGAAAUGCGUAGAUAUUGGGAAGAACACCGGUGGCGCAAGCGGCUUGCUGGGCUGUAACUGACGCUGAGGAACGAAAGCUAGGGGAGCAAAUGGG
rnacentral:rRNA from 1 species